ACGUUGCAGGGGCCAGGCAGAGGGCUGUUUGGCUUCAGGACUUUGAGAGACACGAGAGCUAUGGCCAUGGCUAAAUCUAACGAUUUCGUUUCGGUUGAUAUGGAGAGGAUCUAUCUCGGUGGAAAGGUUGUGGUAACCAGUUGGUAUCGUGCACCAGAGCUGCUCCUUGGGGCAAAACAUUAUACAAGUACUGUUGAUAUGUGGCUGUUGGAUGCAUUUUUGCCGAGCUUUUGACUUUGAAGCCACUGUUUCAAGGAGCUGAAGUCAAAGCUACCCCAAAUCCAUUUCAGGUCAUCCCACUAUAGAAAAGUGGCCAACACUUGCAAAUCUUCCGCAUUGGCAAAAUGAUUUACAACAUAUUCAAGGCCACAAGUAUGACAAUCACAGGCUUCAGGGUUUUGUAAACAUCUCUUCAAAAAGUCCUGCAUUUGACCUCUUAUCUAAGAUACUUGAGUAUGUGUACCUCUUUAUAUUGCAUGAACUACAUUUUAUAUUUGUAUGUUAGUGAUGAUGUAGAUUGUAAUUGUUCAUGGAUUUAUAAACUUUGUAUAUUAGAGAGAAUCGUGGGCUUCAUUUGUAUAUAUAUUCUUAUAUUUGUUUAUUCAUGUUGUAUGAGGCAUAAUACUCUUAUUUACCAAAAGAGAGAUACAAAUUCAACUUAACAAGAUGCUCUCUACACUAAAUAUGCAUAACCAAAAUCUAGAACUAGUCAAAUUUAUUAUUUAGUAAUAAAUUCUUCAAGGAGAGAAAAAAAAAAUCCUUGAAGAGAAACCCAUAUUCAUUCUUUUCUAUGCAAGCUCAUUGGCAUGAGAACUGUUUUAAAGAAUCAUUUUAUUUCCUAUGUAUGAAGCUUCCACACUAAGUAGCGACAGACACUUGGUUUUUUAUUCUGGUAAAAAUCAAUUUAAACAAACCUAUCAUUUUCUUAGCAAUCAUAUUUACCAAACUAUCCAUGUAAGAGUUUAAACCAUAACAUUUUACUCCAACAUAAACCCUAAAAACACUUCUUCCUUCCUCAUCUUAGCCGCCACACUCUUCUCUCUGUUUGACCCCCUCCUUUUUGAAGCUCUAACUGCCACACUUAUCAACCAUGACACUCUUCUUCCAUUGACUUUUGAAGCUUUGCCGCAAGCUUCAUAGACCAAACUACCCCAUUGUUCUCCUCGCCCAAGCUGCUUCUCUCUUGGUCAUUUUGGGUCCCUCUUGGUUGAUUUGAGUCUUGAACGUUUCAAAGAACAACACAUUGUUGAAUGAUUUUACUGCUAUUUUUAGAGGGAACCAGACAGAGUGGUCAAGGAGUCAAAGCUAAUUUGGUUAUUGACAAAUUUAAAUUUUAAGGUAUUGUGAUAGAUAUUAUAGAUGUAUAAAUAAAAAAUUUACAUGUUUAUUGAAAAUGGAGAAAAAAAUUGAGUAAAUGAGCAUUUUUUUUCUCUUUCUUUCUUUCUUUUUUUGUUUUUGUAUUUUGUGUGUGUUAUUAAUUGCAGAAAACUGCUCAAGUAAUAUAUUUUUAAUUGGUCAA